rnacentral:tRNA from 1 species
AGUAAAGUCAGCUAAUCAAGCUUUCGGGCCCAUACCCCGACAAUGUUGGUCUCACAAACCCUUCCUCUACUA